GACGAACGCUGGCGGCGUGCUUAACACAUGCAAGUCGAACGGCAAGGCCCUGCUUUUGCGGGGUGCUCGAGUGGCGAACGGGUGAUUAACACGGGUGUAACCUGCCCUUGACUUUCUUAUAACUUUAGGAAACUGGGGCUAAUACCGGAUAGGUGCUCCUGCUGCAUUGUGGGGGUUGGAAAUUUUCGGCGUUUGGGGGUGGGCUCGCGGCUUGUCAGCUUGUUGGGGGGGUGGUGGCUUGCCAAGGCUUUGCCGGGUAGCCGGCCUGGGAGGGGGACCGGACAAGUUGGGACUGGGAUGCGGCCCAGACUAGUAUGGGAGGCAACGGUGGGGAAGAGUGCACAAGGGGCGGGAGGCUAAUGCAGCAACGCCGCGUGGGGGAAGAGAGCCUUCGGGUUGGAAAGCGAUUUCGCCUGGGACGAAGAGUGAGUGACGGUAAUGGGUGAAGAAGCACCGGCUAACUACGUG
rnacentral:rRNA from 1 species